UACGAAGGGGGCGAGCGUUGUUCGGAAUCACUGGGCGUAAAGGGCGCGUAGGCGGCCAUUCAAGUCGGAGGUGAAAGCCCAGGGCUCAACCCUGGAAUUGCCUUCGAUACUGUUUGGCUGGAGACCGGAAGAGGUAAGUGGAACUGCGAGUGUAGAGGUGAAAUUCGUAGAUAUUCGCAAGAACACCAGUGGCGAAGGCGGCUUACUGGUCCGGUUCUGGACGCUGAGGCGCGAAAGCGUGGGGAGCAAACAGGG
rnacentral:rRNA from 1 species